GAUAUUUUUAUGAUACAUUGAAGAUGGUACCCCGUCUUUUACUGUUACAAAUCGGAGAGUUUAGAUAUUUUUAUGAUUAACAUCGAAGAUGAUACACGUUAAAUGAUUAUCCGUAUAGUUCAAUUCCUUCCGGUUAAAAUUCCAAAGGCGAAGAAAAAACAUGCUUUAAUGGCACCGGCGAAGAAGGGGAAAGCGAAGGCCAACUCGGCCGAUUCAAAUAAGCCAAAGCCG